GGCUGAAGCUGAAGCCACACCCCCUUCCGGUUGCUCGCCCUGGGUUGUUGCCGGUGUUUAGAACCUUCGGCAUGUUAUCUUGAUUGGCGUCGGGUAGCUACGUUUAGUGUUACCAACGGAAGCUACAGCGGCUGGAGCGGCUCCUGACGUGCUCUCCCUUGUGUGUAUGUGUGUGCGCGCCACGCAGCUGCUCAGAGUGGCAGCGCCAAGGACCCGCUGCUGUUUUGCCUUGCUGUUGUUUUGCUUCACUUUGGCCAUGUAUCUGUGAUGGGCUUGCUAUACGGCUAACUGCAGCUAGCCUCCGCUACUUCUCUGCCUCAUCGGCCUGGUCCGCUUCCCCUCGGCGUCAGCCGGGUUAGACCAGGCAGCUUGGGAGUUGGGUUUCUUUUACAAUUGAAUAUUUAUCUUCUUGUUUUUAACAUUCGUACUCUUUGUGCUUUUAUUUGUGUCCACGUGGGGACACAGCUUUAUGGGUGGAUAUUGUUUGGGGUUUAGUUUCUUUUUGUUUGGCCUUAUGGCCCAUAUUGUUUUGAUUAAUUAAGAUCAAUUUUCUAUUUAUUUGUUAUUUGGUGAGCUGCGUCUAAAGGAUUGGUUUAGUUUCUUUUUUUUACUUUUGAACUUUAAAUGUCCGUGAUUCUUGUUUUUUUUGGUAUUUUGUAUUCUGGGUUUAAAUGUUUCUUUCGUGAUGUUUAGUUUAUAGGAUUUUUCUUCUUGUUUAUAGUUUAAUUUCUUAUUUUGUUUAUUGUUUAUUUUGUGUUCCCACUAAUCCCCCUUUUGUUUGGUUUCAGAGGCUGAGCACCUGUGGCAGGGAACGUGGUGUCGUCGGUGGUGGUAUCCCUCCCCGUGUGAUGUGUGAACCCUGGGUAUUUUUCAUUUAAUCCAUCACGUGUGUGUGUGUGUGUGAGAUUUUAUUCACCUGGUGACCUCUCCCUGGGCCCUGUUCCUCCCCUCCGGUGAUACAUCCUGCCACAUGGUUUCCCAGAGACUAUGGGUUGAGGAGGAAUUGGAAGUUUGUCGGCUUAGACCUGGUGUCAUUCCAUCAGUGUUUAACUUCUCGGCUCAUCUUGAAAGAGUACGUGCCAGAAAGACCACGACCAAGCAGCCUUGAGAUCUUAGGCAGCAUCUCCCUGAGUGCCUUCCAGAGGGCAACAGAUCAAAAAGCUGAGAACCGGGAUGUGAACUGUCCUUGAUGAUGUUCUGAGCUCUGCUGAGGCACCAGGUGGAGUAGAUGUCCAUGAGGGAGGGGAGAGGACAGACAACAAUUUACUGAUUUACGACCAAAGAACUACAGACUCUUCACAACCUGCUCAAACUCUUGGUACAGGACCUCACCACACGGGUCAAGAAGGUUUCUGUCUCAUUUCUACUCUGAAGCUCACCUUCUCCUGCUCAAACUGCUGACAAAUGUUUCUGCUGCUCUAAAGUCUGGUCUCCAGAACUUCCUAAAAACUCUCAAAGUCUCUUCUGCUGCAGGUUGCUUAGAACUGUUCCAGAAAACCUCACUAAACCACAUGGAGGGGCCUCAAGAUAGUUGUCCAAAUGAAUCUGUACAAAAACCAAACUAGUACAACCCAAACGCUAAAGUCUCCUGCAGCCUACCAGAGAACCUCUGAGAACAGAGAAUCAGGACAGGAACUCUUACCUUCUGGAGAAGAAGAAUAUAGAAUGUAUCUGACCAAAAACCUCUAAAGACUCACUACAGCCAAGAUAAAGACACAACUCAGCUGCACCAAAUCCACUAAUCACUGCACACAUUAGCACCAUGUGCCAACUGUGGCUAAAGAACCACAUUUACCAAGACAAC
ensembl:lncRNA